AACGAACGCUGGCGGCGUGCUUAAGACAUGCAAGUCGAACGGUAAGGCCCCUUCGGGGGUACACGAGUGGCGCACGGGUGAGUAACGCGUGGGUAACCUGCCCUAUGGAAAGGAAUAGCCUCGGGAAACUGGGAGUAAUGCCUUAUAAUAUAUGUUUGUCGCAUGGCAGAUAUAUUAAACGCUCCGGUGCCAUAGGAUGGACCCGCGUCCCAUUAGCUAGUUGGUGAGAUAACAGCCCACCAAGGCGACGAUGGGUAACCGGUCUGAGAGGGCGAACGGUCACACUGGAACUGAGACACGGUCCAGACUCCUACGGGUGGCAG
rnacentral:rRNA from 1 species